CUGUUCUGUACGUCCUGGUUGGUUCACAUCUGUUGUUUCUAACCAAAUUCGUGAUCUUUUUUAAAUUUUGUUUUACUAAUGGCUGCAAAACAGAAACGGUCUCCUAACUUCAGCGCUUCUGAAAGAGAUACUCUUUUAGAGCUCGUCGCAAAGAUGUAAUCGAAAAUAAAAAAACAGAUGCAGUGUCUACGCAGGAAAAGCAGUCCACAUGGGAAAAAAUAACUGGCGAAUUUAAUGCUAUUUGUCCAGCAACAAUUCCGCGUACAACCGCAACAAUCAGGAAAUUUUAUAACAAUCAAAAAGAAGACAUCCGGAAGCGCAUUGCCAAUCAGAAGAAGGAACUUUAUCAAACUGGUGGCGGAGGAGUUGUGUCUUCGGUUCAAAGGAGCAAUGCAGAUAGAAUAUUAUUAUCUAUUGUUAAUAAUAAGACUUUGUAUGGCGUGGAUAAUUCGCUUGCUCCUUUUGAUGAUGAUUGGGUACCGAAAAACGAAAUUCCACCAUCUCUCAUUGCAUACAUACCAGGUCCUUCUAGAAGUGAGCCUAUUAAUAUGUCUUUUUCCCAAUUAAUCAGAAAGGGCGUUGAUGAAACGCUGAAAUUCAAAUUUCAUGAGAAUCAAGAGGAAUGCAGUACAAUAGACAAUAUUGAACUAGUUUAUGAGAAAGAUGACAAUAUUGAAAAUGCACUUCCUGUAAAUGAGGUCCCUUCACCGUUUUCGCCCUACAGCAAACCCUACAGCAAACCCUAAAAUGGCACUGAAAAGACAUAUAGAAAGCAGGGUAGCGAACCAAGUGCCAAACGUAAACUGGACAAUUCACGACGAAGACCAGUUGUCAUAAAAACUUUGACAACGUCAUCACUUGCAGAAAAGUAUGAACAAUUGGUUGACAAAAAGUUGGAGUUAUUGAAAGGUUUACAGGUGCUCAGAAUUAGGUGCUCAGAAUUAGCAGAUCGCAAGAUCUCCGAAAAGUAUAAGCAAGCCCGCAUUAUCGUAAGUAGUAGUAGUAAGUAAUUAACGUAAGUAAUGACCAUUCACCACCGCUAGCUUCAAAUCCGUAACAUGCACCAACCACCCCGUUGCACACCUCUUCUCCCCUUUUUAGUUUAAUUCUGUAUCGAUUGUAUUUAUUAAUUAAUUUCAAUAUCAUUUGCAAGUCUUAUUUUAUUAAACGCCAGUCCGGACAAACAUGUGUAAUAAAUACCAAAGCGCCUACAAAUAGCCUCGUUAUCUUGUCGACGAAUUCUCGUAAACAACCAUUUACCUGUUCUUAAGGUUUGGUUAUAUUAAUGUUAAGCAGCAAUAUUCCCGUUUAAGGGCGUUCAGCUAAUAGAAGCCUUAAUAUUGUUUCAAUUUUUGAUUAACUUAGCAUGCAAUUUUUGAUUAUCUUAGCAAUUAUUAACGAUUAGCGAGUAGGGAUUUUGGCUAUACGGGGCGUUGUUUAUUUUGUUUAUGUUAUUUCGAAGUGUGUUUUCUUUUAAUAAAUAAACCUUUUGUCUUUUAAC
rnacentral:lncRNA from 1 species